rnacentral:rRNA from 1 species
CCGUACCAAGGCGAUGAUGCAUAGCCCGAGUUGAGAGACUGAUCGGGCCACAUUGGGACUGAGACACGGGCCCAAACUCCUACGGGAGGCAGCAGUAGGGGGAAUCUUCCACAAUGGACGCAAAGUCUGAUGGAGCAAAACGCCGCGUGAGUGAAGAAGGGUUUCGGCUCGUAAAAGCUCUGUUGUUGGUGAGAAGGACAGGGGUAGUAACUGACCCUUUGUUUGACGGUAAUCAAUUUAGAAAGUCACGGGCUAACUACGUGCCCAGCAGCCGCGGUAAAU